CUCUUUUUCAUGGCAGCGUCCACCUAUUGUCAGCAGUUUUUAUGGAUAAAAACUUCAGAAAAAGGCAACCAGAACAUCCACAAAACUAGACGACCACACAGACAUGUUCAAAUAGCUGGAGCGGCAGAAGAUCAACACU